rnacentral:lncRNA from 1 species
UAAGGGUAAUUGGAGAACAUGCUCAGGAGUCACCCGGGGGAAGCUGUAUGGUCAACUUCUCUCGUUCUUACUUCCAGUUAGAUGUAUCCUUGCAUCUCCAUGGCAACCCAGGAGCUUCAUCAGUUUCAUUGAAUCCUUGCUUGGGGAGAUCUUGAGGUACCAGAUGGGCUAGUGGGGUGCCAUCUCCUGAGUGUUCCAGAACCUUCCAAAACAGCAUCACAACGAUGGUAUCCCUGGAGUUGUUCCCCUCCUGUGAUCCUGCAUCUGCAUCUGGAGCACUCCAGUCACGGUCAUGCCCCUGCCACAGCUCUCUGGCAGGGAAACCAAGGUGCCUGGGAUUUCUCUGUUCCUCUAGGCAUUCCUGACUGAGUGAUGUCCAGUUAUCCAAGUAGGGGACCUGGGGCAGUGUGCACCAACCUGUAAAGGGAUGCUGUAGACUUACAAGGCAGAAAGAGCUGACAAGAGGGUCACCCUGAUCCCAGAGGCACGAGCGACCUCUGGUGGUGAUGGUGCAAAGAGCCUUGAUACUCAAAAGCUGGAGCGACUGGGAGGAGGUCCUUGGACCUGCAUUGAGGAUGAGAAGAAGAAAACUCAAUUAAGGUCAACAGUGAAGGAGAUCCUGGGAUUUGUGCUAAUUAGGGCACAGUCUUGGAGUGCUUCAUUUAAAAGUAACAAGAACGUAGGGCUAUGAUGACAUCUUUAAUUAAUAAAGAUGCAUGCCUGCAUGUUCUCUGUCCUUGGUGAUCUGAGAGUCAGCAAGCCAGUUCUGCAGAAGAGAUGGACAUUCUGACACCAUAGGCUUGACUUUGUCAUUAGUUAAAGAGGCCUCUGUUUUUUAAUGUUUCCAUGUAUAUGAAGAACUAUAAUGGGGAACUAUUUUGGAAAACCAUGAGAGUUGAGACAGGGAGGGUGUCUCCAACACAGAUGAAGGGAAGAUCAUAGCCCCCGAAGGUGUGAGUUCUAAUCACCUGGCUCUCCUUUGGACAACAGUAGGAACUGUUUUACAAUUGCCAAGUGUGUG